GUCUGGGCCCAGAGAUUCAGUUCCCCUAACCAGGACUCCCUUCUCUCACAGCUUGUGGACUGGCGAGGGCUCGGAGAGUGGUGCUCCAAGUGCCCCACUUGCAUCAGGGCAUCAGGGAGCUGUGUGAGAGGCUGGACACCGUGGAGGACGGGCCUCUGCGUGAGGACCGUGCCGAAAUAGCGAAGGAUGUUUGCCAGUACCUACCCCAGGGACAGGCCAGGAGCUUCAUGGACUCCAUCACGAAGACCUUCUCGUGCACUAACCAGGAGCGUGCACGAGCAGCUGGCGACUGGCUGAUCGCAUUCCUGGAGACACGCGGAAACGAAAUAUACCCAGAGGUGCCUGAAUUCAUGAAGAUCCUGUGGGAGGCCAGGCGCACCGUGCAGCAGAGCCCCCUCAAGGACCUCUUCUUCAAGGCACUCUGUCUCCUGGCCGGCUUCCGCAGCCAGGCUGUGGUGGACACCCUCCUCCAGACAGAAUCGCCCUCAGAGAGAGACGAGCGGCUCUGGAGGAGCCUGGGCAGCAGCGACCUCGGGCCUAAGGUGCUGUAUCACUUAAUUUGGAGACUGAACGAGGCAUCUGAAGCCAGGUGUCGGCUCACGGUUGCUGCUCAACCGCUGGAUCCUUUCAAGCUCCUCUGUGCCAUCUGUGAGGUGAUGUCUGCUCUGCUGACCACGAGGGAAACCCGGGACGUGCUUCUUUGCCUCUUUUUCGCCCUCCUGAAGCGGGUCAGCAUUGAACUGGGGACACUGGUGCUGUUUCCCCCCCUGAGUCUUCCGGCAGAAAUCUUCAAGGAAACGGAAGAAGAGGAGCUGGUGUGCGGACCCUACAGUGCUGCUCUGGAACAAGUGCUGGGAAGACUCCUGGACGAGAGGUGGCAGCGGGUGCUCUGCAAUCAUCGAGUGUGGCCGUCCCUGGACGUGCCUCAGUGGCACUGCAACGCCGUGCAGCUCCUGACCAGAGUGCUGCUCCAUGCCCAGCUCGUCUCACGUUUGCUGAUAAACAGCUUCAUGCUGUGGCUGCACUCCCCCUCGCAAAACCUGCAACUCACGGCGCUGGCUUUAUUCGCAGAGGUGGUGAAGGACCCGCCAGCUGAGGGGAAGCAUCUCCUGAAGCCCCUGGUGUGGGUCUUCCUGGAGAAGCUGAAGAGUCCGAGCCGUGCUGUGAAGCAGAUGGCAGCGAGAGGCCUGGGCCGUGCUGUCAGUGGCUUGCCCAAGAAGGUGAGGUGCACUUCCCUCUGCUCUGGCUGCAGCCCCCCAGCAGAGAGCCGGGCAGGGCUGCAGGGCAGUUGGGGAGCCUGGGGCAGAGCAGCACAGGCAGAUGGGGGCUUCCCAACAGCCAGGCUGCUCUCCAAGCUCAGCACGCAGCCUGCGGGGAAACCUCUUGCCAAACGUGCCAGUGCCGUUCGUCACGGGGUUGUGCCGCAGC
rnacentral:lncRNA from 1 species